AUUGAACGCUGGCGGCAGGCCUAACACAUGCAAGUCGAACGGUAACAGGAAGAAUCUUGCUUCUUUGCUGACGAGUGGCGGCCGGGUGAGUAAUGUCUGGGAAACUGCCUGAUGGAGGGGGAUAACUACUGGAAACGGUAGCUAAUACCGCAUAACGUCGCAAGACCAAAGAGGGGGACCUUCGGGCCUCUUGCCAUCGGAUGUGCCCAGAUGGGAUUAGCUAGUAGGUGGGGUAACGGCUCACCUAGGCGACGAUCCCUAGCUGGUCUGAGAGGAUGACCAGCCACACUGGAACUGAGACACGGUCCAGACUCCUACGGGAGGCAGCAGUGGGGAAUAUUGCACAAUGGGCGCAAGCCUGAUGCAGCCAUGCCGCGUGUAUGAAGAAGGCCUUCGGGUUGUAAAGUACUUUCAGCGGGGAGGAAGGGAGUAAAGUUAAUACCUUUGCUCAUUGACGUUACCCGCAGAAGAAGCACCGGCUAACUCCGUG
rnacentral:rRNA from 1 species